rnacentral:rRNA from 1 species
UACGUAGGGUGCGAGCGUUAAUCGGAAUUACUGGGCGUAAAGCGUGCGCAGGCGGUUCGUUAAGUUCGUUGUGAAAGCCCCGGGCUCAACCUGGGAACUGCAAUGGAAACUGGCGGGCUUGAAUGCGGCAGAGGGGGGUGGAAUUCCGCGUGUAGCAGUGAAAUGCGUAGAGAUGCGGAGGAACACCGAUGGCGAAGGCAGCCCCCUGGGCUGAGAUUGACGCUCAGGCUCGAAGGCGUGGGGAGCAAACAGG